GCUACACGUUCAUGUCGUCGAGGUGUUCGACUUGUUGCAUUGCCAGUCGCGGUAACCCAAAUUCGCCAUGCUUCCGGGGGCGUAGCGCGAGCGGUCGCACGGCCACAUGCACAUGGCCAGGCCGGCGCUGAAGACGCUCACGACCGGGCCACCGGAAGCCAGGGGUGAGUUCAUCCGUCUCUGCUCAAGCGGUCGCCUCAAGGAUGCCCUCCACCACCCCUUCCGGGACGUCCUCUGGUCGGAACCUACCCUCUUCGCCCACGUCUUCCGGGCCUGCCGCGCCAUCCCGCUCCUCCGCCAAAUCCACGCCUUUGCCGCCACCUGUGGCGCCGCCGCCGACCGCUUCACCACCAACAACCUCAUGCUCGCCUACGCGGACCUCGGCGACCUCCCCACUGCGUGCAGUCUGUUCGAGAGAAUUCCGAAGCCGAACGUCAUGUCCUGGAACAUUCUGAUUGGUGGUUACAUCAAGAACGGCGACCUUGGAAGCGCUCGGAAGCUGUUCGACGAAAUGCCCAUGAGGAAUGUCGCCACCUGGAAUGCCAUGGUCGCUGGGCUCACCAAUGCAGGGCAUGACGAGGACAGCCUGGGGUUCUUCCUUGCCAUGCGAAGGGAGGGAUUGCAUCCUGAUGAGUUUGGCCUUGGGAGCGUGUUCAGGUGCUGUGCCGGGCUCUCUGAUCUUGUCUCUGGACGCCAGGUCCAUGCAUAUGUCCUGAGGUGUGGGAUGGACAUUGACAUGUGUGUUGGAAACUCGCUGGCUCACAUGUACAUGCGGUGUGGGUGCCUCGCAGAAGGAGAGGCCGUUCUCAAAGCGCUUCCUUCUCUUACAGUUGUGUCAUUCAAUACCACAAUCGCUGGUAGGGCGCAGCAUGGAGACUCCGAGGGAGCAUUGGAGUAUUUUUCCAUGAUGAGAGGUGUUGGGAUAGCGGCUGAUGUGGUCACAUUCGUUAGUAUCAUUACCUGUUGCUCAGAUUUGGCAGCUCUCGCACAAGGUCAGCAAGUUCACGCACAGGUUAUCAAGGCUGGAGUUGACAAGGUUGUUCCAGUCAUUACUUGCCUUGUGCAUAUGUACUCUCGAUGCGGAUGCUUGGGUGACUCGGAAAGAGUUUAUUCUGGUUAUUGUGGAUCAGAUCUUUUUCUUCUCAGUGCAAUGAUCUCAGCUUGUGGGUUCCAUGGGCAAGGACAUAAAGCAGUUGAGCUGUUUAAACAGAUGAUGAAUGCAGGGGCAAGACCUAAUGAGGUUACUUUCUUGGCCCUGCUAUAUGCGUGCAGCCAUAGUGGUCUGAAAGAUGAAGGCUUGGAGUUCUUUGAGCUUAUGACCAAGACUUAUGGACUGCAACCAAGUGUGAAACACUACACUUGUAUUGUGGAUCUUCUUGGGCGAUCAGGUUGUCUGGAUGAAGCAGAGGCCCUUAUCUUGUCAAUGCCUGUACGUGCUGACGGGGUCAUAUGGAAGACACUGCUAUCUGCUUGUAAGACCCAGAAGAAUUUUGACAUGGCCGAGCGGAUAGCAGAGCGAGUCAUUGAGUUUGACCCUCGAGAUUCUGCGCCUUAUGUUCUGCUAUCAAAUAUUCGAGCUACCAGCAGGAGAUGGGGAGAUGUCAGUGAGUUAAGAAAAAACAUGAGGGAGAAGAACGUGAGAAAGGAACCUGGUGUCAGCUGGGUAGAGCUUAAGGGUCAGGUGCAUCAGUUUUGCACAGGAGAUAAAUCUCAUCCAAGACAAGGAGAGAUCAAUGAGUACUUGGAAGAAAUGAUGGCCAAGAUCAGGCAAUGUGGAUAUGCACCAGACAUGAGCAUGGUGUUCCAUGAUAUGGAGGAUGAGGAGAAAGAGGUUAGUUUAACUCACCACAGCGAGAAAUUGGCGAUAGCAUUUGCAUUUCUGAGCUUACCUGAAGGAGUUCCUAUCCGAAUAAUGAAGAAUCUACGUGUGUGCGAUGACUGCCAUGUUGCUAUCAAGUUGAUGUCCCAGGUCACUGGUCGAGAGAUUGUGGUCAGAGAUGUAAGCCGCUUUCACCAUUUCAGAGAUGGCAAAUGCUCCUGUGGAGAUUAUUGGUGAUGAAAGCACUCAACUGUGUGUAUCUUUUCCAUUUGCUGCGGGGAACAAGAUCUGUAUACUUGGUUCAUGGAAUUUUUGAAGUCAGCAGGAUGGUCAUAAAGCUGGAUCAUGUGUUGCUGGAGCCCUGGAGGUUCUGGUCCUUCUGAGAGUAUGACAGUGGAAACUAUCGGUGCAAUUAUACAUGGAGCAACAAUAGUGCAGCGCUACAAAAUGGAAGGCAAGUGUCUCUUUUACUUUGUCAUGCAAUAAUUCUGAUUGGAAUGUCAAGUGACAUUGUUUUUAUUUUUCAUUUCGCUGGAUGUAUAUUUUGGUCAAUAAGAACAGUGGCCAGGGUCCACAGGCAGCUGCAUAUAUGCAUUGUACAAUAGUUCCAUUGAAUCUCGUUUUGCAUUGAAAUUAAUUUUGGAUUUUGUCUUUCAAUUGGCUGUGCUUGGUUUUGAAUAAGAUUGAUAGUUAAAUUUUCUUUUUUGAGGUCAUGGCCUUUGUUUGUACAAAUUGACAGCAUUGUUUGCAGAUUCCUCGGGUUUAUUUCUGUUCCCUCUUGUUGCUCAUCCAUUUGAUCUCUUGAUUCACUGGCAAUUAUGCAGAAAGGUUAUUAUGCUGCCCUUUUUUUCUUUUCCUUGUGAGGGUUUCUUUACCUUGGGAAUGGGCUCGUUGAAAGAAGCAACCAAGCCCAAUGGCCAAUGGGGGUCUUCAGACACACUCAGGUUCUAUUCUUUGGCCCGCAGAUUGCUGCCAGAUUUUUGUGUCAAGUCAUGUCCAGACCUGGCCAUAUGGACCGUGCUUCUAAGGCGCCGCCCGUGGGCACGAAUUUUUGGCCUGGCACAAUACACGAAUAAAAGGGCCGGGACGCCAUGGAACAAAGCCGAUCCCCGAAGCCAAGCCUUAAGGCCAGCCCGGCACGUCCCUUUUAUUCAUGGGUCGGCACGACACAUCUCGGCACGUGGCGGCAUGCGGCCCAAGUUGGCCCAGAAGGCCUUUUUGGCCUUCAAACCUAAAAAACAAAAGGCCUAGAAGGCCGAAGCGGCUCACAAGGGCUCAAAAGGAACAAAGGCCGGUCCACAGGCAUGCCGGGCCGGCCUUGUUCUGGCGUCUGCCAAGCCGAUCCUCGAGCUGAGGCCUUCGGACUGGCACGACAAGACCCUAUUAUAAAAGGUCCGAC